UACAGAGGAUGCAAGCGUUAUCCGGAAUGAUUGGGCGUAAAGCGUCUGUAGGUGGCUUCUUAAGUCUGCCGUCAAAUCCCAGGGCUCAACUCUGGACAGGCGGUGGAAACUACCAAGCUGGAGUACGGUGGGGGCAGAGGGAAUUUCCGGUGGAGCGGUGAAAUGCGUAGAGAUCGGAAAGAACACCAACGGCGAAAGCACUCUGCUGGGCCGACACUGACACUGAGAGACGAAAGCUAGGGGAGCGAAUGGG
rnacentral:rRNA from 1 species